rnacentral:rRNA from 1 species
CAGUAGCCGCGGGAAUACAGAGGGUGCAAGCGUUAAUCGGAAUUACUGGGCGUAAAGCGCGCGUAGGUGGUUUGUUAAGUUGGAUGUGAAAGCCCCGGGCUCAACCUGGGAACUGCAUCCAAAACUGGCAAGCUAGAGUACGGUAGAGGGUGGUGGAAUUUCCUGUGUAGCGGUGAAAUGCGUAGAUAUAGGAACGAACACCAGUGGCGAAGGCGACCACCUGGACUGAUACUGACACUGAGGUGCGAAAGCGUGGGGAGCAAACAGGAUUAGAUACCCCUGUAGUCCCUGUCUCUUAUAC